UAGGUAUUUUUAAAUCUGGAUACAGGUGCAUUGAUUUUAAAAUAUGGAUUCCGAAUCGGUGAUUGUAAACCAGAUCGAUAUUAAUAAUUUAUUCACACUAAAUCGAUUGUAGAAUUUUUUCAAUUAGGAUUAAAUUAUCAGCAAUUACAGAACCAACGCACUUGCCAUUAAUAAUAUAACAAUGAAUAAGUGACGUUCAAAUGUUGUUUUUGUCCUUAACAAGUCACGAGGAUGUCCAAAUAAUUUGUUUCAUAAGUUAACGGCUGAAUUGGGAAGAUAUUUAUAGUUACCGACAAAUUAUGUUCACUAAAUAUGAAUGGACGGCCGUCUCUCCAAGUGAAAGUUGGAAAUUACGACCCUUUAUGUGAUUGAAUGUUAUUAUAAUAUUAUGAUGAUGACGAUGAAAUAUUGUUAUGUAUCAUUUUUUCUUUCAAGAAAUACCUAUGCAAUCUAAUUAUAUAGUUCAGCAGUUGAUGUGAUCUAUAUUUUCUUUGAUUCUGGAUGUUUGAAUUCCAUAAAUACCUACACGAUAAAAUGUUUACAAAAAUAAGAGCG